rnacentral:rRNA from 1 species
CCUACGGGCGGCUGCAGUGAGGAAUAUUGGUCAAUGGGCGCGAGCCUGAACCAGCCAAGUCGCGUGAGGGAAGACGGUCCUAUGGAUUGUAAACCUCUUUUGUCGGGGAGCAAAAGCCGCCAAGCGUGGCGUUCCGCGAGUACCCGAAGAACAAGCAUCGGCUCACUCCGUGCCAGCCGCCGCGGUAAUACGGAGGAUGCGAGCGGUAUCCGGAUUUAUUGGGUUUAAGGGGUGCGAAGGCGGAAGAUCAAGUCAGCGGUAAAAUUGAGAGGCUCAACCUCUUCGAGCCGUUGAAACUGGUUUUCUUGAGUGAGCGAGAGGGAUGCGGAAUGCGUGGUGUAGCGGUGAAAUGCAUAGAUAUCACGCAGAACUCCGAUUGCGAAGGCAGCAUACCGGCGCUCAACUGACGCUCAUGCACGAAAGUGUGGGUAUCGAACAGGAUUAGAUACCCGUGUAGUC